UACGUAGGGAGCAAGCGUUGUCCGGAAUCAUUGGGCGUAAAGCGCGCGUAGGUGGCCCUGUAAGUCCGUUGUGAAAGUCAAAGGCUCAACCUUUGAAAGCCGAUGGAUACUGCAGGGCUAGAGUACGGAAGAGGCGAGUGGAAUUCCUGGUGUAGCGGUGGAAUGCGCAGAUAUCAGGAGGAACACCAAUGGCGAAGGCAGCUUGCUGGGACGGUACUGACGCUGAGGCGCGAAAGCGUGGGGAGCAAACAGG
rnacentral:rRNA from 1 species